AGUGAACGCUGGCGGUAGGCCUAACACAUGCAAGUCGAGCGGCCGCACAGUAAGCGCUCGCCCUUACGGGUGGCGAGUGGCGGACGGGUGAGGCAUACAUAGCCAACUUAUUUUACGUGGAGGACAACGUAGGGCAACUGCUGCUACUGCAGCAUACGACCUACGGGUGAGUGCAGGAGUUCAUCACGCUCUGCCUGUUUCUAUUAGACGAUGCCGUGCUGGAUUAGCUAGUUGGUAAGGUAACGGCUCACCAAGGCGACGAUGCGUAGCCGACCUGAGAGGAUGAUCAGCCACACUGGAACUGAGACACGGUCCAGACUCCUACGGGAGGCAGCAGUAGGGAAUAUUGGGCAAUGGGCGCAAGCCUGAUCCAGCCAUACCGCGUGGGUGAAGAAGGUCUUCGGGUUGUAAAGCCCUGUUAUUGGGGAAGAAAAUAAGUGUGAUUAUACGCGGACGUUCUGACGGUACCUAAAGAGUAAGCACCGGCUAACUACGUG
rnacentral:rRNA from 1 species